UGCGGGGUAGAUCAGUGGUCAGAUCGGAAGUUUCAUAAUCUUCAGGCCGCCGGUUCGAAUCCGGCCCCCGCUAC
rnacentral:tRNA from 1 species